rnacentral:rRNA from 1 species
CGCGUAUCCAACCUGCCCACCACUUGGGGAUAACCUUGCGAAAGUAAGACUAAUACCCAAUGAUAUCUCUAGAAGACAUCUGAAAGAGAUUAAAGAUUUAUCGGUGAUGGAUGGGGAUGCGUCUGAUUAGCUUGUUGGCGGGGUAACGGCCCACCAAGGCAACGAUCAGUAGGGGUUCUGAGAGGAAGGUCCCCCACAUUGGAACUGAGACACGGUCCAAACUCCUACGGGAGGCAGCAGUGAGGAAUAUUGGUCAAUGGACGAGAGUCUGAACCAGCCAAGUAGCGUGCAGGAUGACGGCCCUAUGGGUUGUAAACUGCUUUUAUAAGGGAAUAAAGUGAGUCUCGUGAGACUUUUUGCAUGUACCUUAUGAAUAAGGACCGGCUAAUUCCGUGCCAGCAGCCGCGGUAAUACGGAAGGUCCGGGCGUUAUCCGGAUUUAUUGGGUUUAAAGGGAGCGUAGGCCGGAGAUUAAGCGUGUUGUGAAAUGUAGACGCUCAACGUCUGCACUGCAGCGCGAACUGGUUUCCUUGAGUACGCACAAAGUGGGCGGAAUUCGUGGUGUAGCGGUGAAAUGCUUAGAUAUCACGAAGAACUCCGAUUGCGAAGGCAGCUCACUGGAGCGCAACUGACGCUGAAGCUCGAAAGUGCGGGUAUCGAACAGGAUUAGAUACCCUGGUAGUCCGCACGGUAAACGAUGGAUGCCCGCUGCUGGUCUGAAUAGGUCAGCGACCAAGCGCAAGCUUUAAGCAUCCCCCCCGGUGA